rnacentral:rRNA from 1 species
UACGAAGGGGGCUAGCGUUAUUCGGAAUUACUGGGCGUAAAGCGCGUGUAGGCGGUUUUUUAAGUUGGGGGUGAAAGCCCGGAGCUCAACUCCGGAAUGUCCUUCAAAACUGGAAAACUUAGAGUUCGAGAGAGGUGAGUGGAAUUCCUAGUGUAGAGGUGGAAUUCGUAGAUAUUAGGAGGAACACCAGUGGCGAAGGCGGCUCACUGGCUCGAUACUGACGCUGUAGCGCGAAAGCGUGGGGAGCAAACAGG